UAUUGCUGCAAAGUAGCUUACACGUAGAUACCCACGUGGUCGCAACUUGAAAGUCUCUGAUUGGCUCUAUUCCAAAAAAACACUCUGGGAUACGCCUCACAAGUUCGGGGCUAUUCGUUUCUUAACAUGAAACAUGUUGCGGCGCCCAGCCCCCAUGGGCGUGAUUAGACACUUAGCGAACUAGGUCAAUUCUCUUGUGGACAUUAUAGUUGCGCAGGAACUUUGUUGACUCUAGAGAAUCUCGGGCAAAUCGCACAUCCCCGUGGUGACGACUUUGCAUGCGGAUGUCAUCCAUAUCAACUUUCAAUGCCAGUUUCUGCGCCUACCAUGGUGACCACGGGUAACGGGGAAUCAGGGUUCCAUUCCGUACAGGUACCCUGAGAAACGGCUACCACAUACAAGGAAGGCAGCAGGCACGCAAAUGAACCACUCCCGACGCGGGAAGGUAGUGACAAAAAAUAACAAUACAGGACUCUUUAGAGGUCCUGUAAUUGAAAUGAGUCCACUUGAAAUCCUUUAACUCUGAUCAAUUGGAGGGAAGUCUGGUGCAGAGCCACUGACCCAUGUGUGCUGCAGCUGAAACUCCAUUA